CGGCGGACGGGUGGGUAACGCGUGGGUAACCGUACCUCAUACAGGGGAGUAACAGUUGGAAACGGCUGCUAAUACCGCAUAAGCGCACAGUACCGCAUGGUACCGUGUGAAAAACUCCGGUGGUAUGAGAUGGACCCGCGUCUGAUUAGCUAGUUGGUGGGGUAACGGCCUACCAAGGCGACGAUCAGUAGCCGACCUGAGAGGGUGACCGGCCACAUUGGGACUGAGACACGGCCCAA
rnacentral:rRNA from 1 species